CUCUCGAGUCCUAAACAAGUGGAAGACGAGCCGAGCACUCGAUCCCAUCUUCCAAACCCAAACAAACGCGUCGCAUCAUUCCACCCAACUCUCUCAAUUAGCAGGAAGUAAAGAACACCUCAAGAUCAAGACAGGAAUCCGCGCUUUCCAGGCAAGGGGGUGGGGGAUGGGGUUUGUGAGCACGGCGUUGGGGCUCUGUGGGUUCGGCGUGGGGCUGUCGGCGGGGAUCGUCAUCGGAUACUUCCUCUUCAUCUACUUCCAGCCCUCCGAUGUCAAGGAUCCUAAAAUCCGUCCACUUGUUGAACAUGAUUCGAAAUCAUUGGAACGGAUGCUUCCUGAAAUUCCCCUGUGGGUGAAGAAUCCAGACUAUGAUCGAAUUGAUUGGUUAAAUAAGUUUCUAGAAAUGAUGUGGCCUUAUCUCAAUAAGGCUAUCUGCAGAACUGCAAAACAAAUUGCAGAUCCAAUAAUUGCUGACAAUACCAUAAAGUAUAAACUCGAUUCAGUUGAAUUUGAAACCUUCACUCUUGGUUCACUGCCACCUACUUUUCAAGGAAUGAAAGUGUACAUUACAGAAGAGAAGGAGCUCAUUAUGGAACCAUCACUGAAGUGGGCUGGGAACCCUAAUGUCGUCGUUGUUGUGAAAGCCUAUGGAUUAAAAUUGACUGCACAGGUGGUGGAUUUGCAAAUCUUUGCCACUCCACGCAUUACAUUAAAGCCGUUGGUCCCUAGCUUUCCUUGUUUUGCAAAAAUCUUGGUGUCUCUCAUGGACAAGCCACAUGUUGACUUUGGUCUAAAACUUUUGGGGGCUGAUCUUAUGGCAAUUCCUGGCCUUUAUAGAUUUGUUCAGGAAACAAUAAAAAAUCAGGUUGCAAAUAUGUACCUGUGGCCUAAAACACUAGAAGUGCCAGUUCUGGAUGUUUCAAAAGCCUCAAGGAAGCCUGUUGGAAUUCUUCAUUUGAAGGUUAUCAGAGCAUAUAAGUUAAAAAAGAAAGACCUAUUGGGGAAAUCAGACCCAUAUGUCAAACUGAAGCUUGGAGACGAUAAGCUUCCAUCAAAAAAGACAAGAGUGAAGCAUAGCAAUCUUAAUCCUGAGUGGAACGAGGAAUUUAAGUUUGUUAUCAGAGAUCCAGAAAAUCAAUUUGUUGAACUUAAUGUCUAUGACUGGGAACAGGUGGGGAAACAUGAAAAGAUGGGCAUGAACGUCAUUCGACUGAAUGAACUUGCCCCCGAUGAGCCAAAAACUCUGACACUCGACUUGCUUAAGAAUCUUGAGAGUAGAGAUGUUCAGAGUGACAAAUCACGUGGACAGAUUGUUGUGGAAGCAUUGUACAAACCUUUCAAGGAAAAAGAGGUACCAAAAGAUGUCGGUGAGAAUGCAGAUGAAGUAGAAAAAGCUCCUGAUGGUACACCAUCAGGCGGCGGUUUGCUUGUUGUUAUUGUUCAUGAAGCUAAAGAUCUUGAGGGCAAGCACCAUACAAACCCUUAUGUGCGUGUCACCUUUCGAGGAGAGGAGAAGAAAACUAAACACAUAAAGAAAAACAGAGAUCCAAGAUGGGAGGAAGAGUUUCAGUUUGUAUGUGAGGAGCCUCCUAUCAAUGAUAAAAUGCAUGUGGAAGUACUCAGUAGGGCACCAAGUAUUGGCAUACACCCUAAGGAAAGUUUGGGAUAUGUUACCAUUAGCCUCACAGAUGUGGUGAACAACAAGAGAACCAAUGAGACAUAUCAUCUCAUCGACUCCAAAAAUGGUCGAAUUCAAAUAGAACUGCAGUGGAGGACUUCUUAGAGCUAUCGAAUGAACGAAUCCCAGCAUGGGAAGAGAUUGUACUUACUGAAUCAGAUGCAACAAUGAUAAAGAUUUAAAGAUAGAAAAUCAUCUUUGGAUUAUAUGGAAGAAGAAGAAGAAGAAGAAGAAGAAGAAGAAGAAAAAUCAUCUUUACAGGUAGAAAGUGUUUUUCAAUUUUCCUUCUUCUUUCUUUGCCUCUUUCUGAAGUGAGGUUUCAUAGAUUUUACCGGUUAAAUGUAAGUUACCGAGUCUCAACUGGAAUUAUGAGCAAGCUUACAAGUUCUAAGGCUUGUAUCACUGCUUAGAUCCUCUUGCUUCGUUUCCCAUGGAUAGAGUAAACCUUUUGCACUUGUGAAUAUAAAAAUUACCAGAGGGAGAUUAUUUUUCU